AGUGAACGCUGGCGGUAGGCCUAACACAUGCAAGUCGAACGGCAGCACAGUAAGAGCUUGCUCUUACGGGUGGCGAGUGGCGGACGGGUGAGGAAUACAUCGGAAUCUACUUUUUCGUGGGGGAUAACGUAGGGAAACUUACGCUAAUACCGCAUACGACCUACGGGUGAAAGCAGGGGAUCUUCGGACCUUGCGCGAUUGAAUGAGCCGAUGUCGGAUUAGCUAGUUGGCGGGGUAAAGGCCCACCAAGGCGACGAUCCGUUGCUGGUCUGAGAGGAUGAUCAGCCACACUGGAACUGAAACACGUUCCAGACUCCUACGGGAGGCACCAGUGGGGAAUAUUGGACAAUGGGCACAAGCCUGAUCCAGCCAUACCGCGUGAGUGAAGAAGGCCUUCGGGUUGUAAAGCCCUUUUGUUGGGAAAGAAAAGCAGCAGGUUAAUACCCCGCCGUUCUGACGGUACCCAAAGAAUAAGCACCGGCUAACUUCGUG
rnacentral:rRNA from 1 species